rnacentral:rRNA from 1 species
GACGAACGCUGGCGGCGUGCUUGACACAUGCAAGUCGAACGAUGAUGCUGGAGCUUGCUCCAGUUGAUUAGUGGCGAACGGGUGAGUAACACGUGAGCAAUCUGCCCUUGACUCUGGGAUAACUGCGGGAAACUGUAGCUAAUACCGGAUACUUUCACCGGAAGGCAUCUUCUGGUGAUGAAAGAAUUUCGGUCAGGGAUGAGCUCGCGGCCUAUCAGCUUGUUGGUGAGGUAACGGCCCACCAAGGCGACGGCGGGUAACCGGCCUGAGAGGGUGACCGGUCACACUGGGACUGAGACACGGCCCAGACUCCUACGGGAGGCAGCAGUGGGGAAUAUUGCACAAUGGGCGCAAGCCUGAUGCAGCAACGCCGCGUGAGGGAUGAAGGCCUUCGGGUUGUAAACCUCUUUUAGCAGGGAAGAAGCGAAAGUGACGGUACCUGCAGAAAAAGCACCGGCUAACUACGUGCCAGCAGCCGCAGUAA